GUGAGGAAUAUUGGACAAUGGGCGCAAGCCUGAUCCAGCCAUGCCGCGUGAGUGAUGAAGGCCUUCGGGUUGUAAAGCUCUUUAGCCGAUGAUUAUAAUGACUGUAGUCGGAAAAUAAGCCCCGGCUAACUUCGUGCCAGCAGCCGCGGUAAUACGAAGGGGGCGAGCGUUAUUCGGAAUCACUGGGCGUAAAGCGUGCGUAGGCUGUUUUGUAAGUCAGAAGUGAAAGCCCAGGGCUUAACCCUGGAAUUGCUGUUGAAACUACAAGACUCGAAUUCGGGAGAGGAUAGCGGAAUUGUCAGUGUAGCAGUGAAAUGCGUAGAUAUUGACAGGAACACCAGUGGCGCAAGCGGCUAUCUGGACCGAUAUUGACGCUGAGGCACGAAAGCGUGGGGAGCAAACAGGAUUAGAUACCCUUGUAGUCC
rnacentral:rRNA from 1 species